UACGUAGGGUGCAAGCGUUGUCCGGAAUUAUUGGGCGUAAAGAGCUCGUAGGCGGUCUGUCGCGUCUGCUGUGAAAACUCGGGGCUUAACCCCGGGCCUGCAGUGGGUACGGGCAGACUAGAGUGCGGUAGGGGAGAAUGGAACUCCUGGUGUAGCGGUGGAAUGCGCAGAUAUCAGGAAGAACACCGAUGGCGAAGGCAGUUCUCUGGGCCGUAACUGACGCUGAGGAGCGAAAGCGUGGGGAGCGAACAGG
rnacentral:rRNA from 1 species